rnacentral:rRNA from 1 species
AACAAACGCUGGCGGCGUGCCUAAUACAUGCAAGUCGAACGGGAAAAGGCUUCGGCCGAGUACUAGUGGCGCACGGGUGAGGAACACGUGGGUAAUCUGCCUUCGAGUGGGGAAUAACUAUCCGAAAGGAUGGCUAAUACCGCAUAUGACCACAGCAUCUCAGGAUGCAGGGGUAAAAGCAGCAAUGCGCUUGAAGAUGAGCCCGCGCGGGAUUAGCUAGUUGGUAGGGUAAUGGCCUACCAAGGCUUUGAUCUCUAACUGGUCUGAGAGGAUGAUCAGUCACACUGGAACUGAGACACGGUCCAGACUCCUACGGGAGGCAGCAGUAGGGAAUAUUGCGCAAUGGAGGAAACUCUGACGCAGCGACGCCGCGUGAGCGAUGAAGGCCUUCGGGUCGUAAAGCUCUGUUGCAAGGGAAAAAGAAAGUGAUUGUACCUUGCGAGAAAGGAUCGGCUAACUUCGUGCCAGCCGCCGCCGUAAAAC